rnacentral:rRNA from 1 species
CCGGGGCCGCACGCGCGCUACAUUGAAGGAAUCAGCGUGUGCUUUCCCGGUCCGACAGGACUGGGUAACCCCUUGAACCUCCUUCGUGCUGGGGAUAGAACCUUGUAAUUAGUUCUUGAACGAGGAAUGCCCAGUAAGCACGAGUCAUCAGCUCGUGUUGAUUACGUCCCUGCCCUUUGCACACACCGCCCGUCGCUACUACCGAUUGAAUGAUUAA